rnacentral:rRNA from 1 species
UGGGGAAUAUUGCACAAUGGGCGCAAGCCUGAUGCAGCCAUGCCGCGUGUAUGAAGAAGGCCUUCGGGUUGUAAAGUACUUUCAGCGGGGAGGAAGGGAGUAAAGUUAAUACCUUUGCUCAUUGACGUUACCCGCAGAAGAAGCACCGGCUAACUCCGUGCCAGCAGCCGCGGUAAUACGGAGGGUGCAAGCGUUAAUCGGAAUUACUGGGCGUAAAGCGCACGCAGGCGGUUUGUUAAGUCAGAUGUGAAAUCCCCGGGCUCAACCUGGGUACUGCAUCUGAUACUGGCAAGCUUGAGUCUCGUAGAGGGGGGUAGAAUUCCAGGUGUAGCGGUGAAAUGCGUAGAGAUCUGGAGGAAUACCGGUGGCGAAGGCGGCCCCCUGGACGAAGACUGACGCUCAGGUGCGAAAGCGUGGGGAGCAAACAG